GGGGAAGUUGGCACUCUGAGAGAACAGAAAGAGAGGGAGAGAGAAGGAAAAAGAGAGAGAGAGAGACAUACAGACAGACAGACAGACAGACAGACAGAUGGACUAAACCAAGAGAUAAAUCCUAGCACGACCUACAACAAUGCUUGGAGAGUUUGUGUGCAGCUGAUUUCACAACCGGCCGGCCGGCCAUUCCGCUAAACGGAAUUCCAGCGUUCUCCGGAAGCUACGUCACACGUAACUCGGACUCAUACGAUUAAAGAUAGAUCUUUCUAUCGUGAAGAAUAAUGAAAGAUUUGGAAGGUAAGUAUAAACGAUUUUCGUUCUCAAAGGAAACUAUGUAAACGAAAUCAAACGAAAGAUGAUUCAUAUGAAGUAGUAAAGGAAAGACCUUGGCCCCUACAGUUAGCUACUAUGUACAUACACAUAUACAUAGUUCAUACAUAUGUAUAUAUAUAUAUAUAUAUAUACAAGAGAUCGGGCUCGAUCCGGUCUCUCGAGUAAGCAGGUCGAGAACGAACUUGGAACCUGCCAGACAAAAAAAGAGAAACCUGAAAAUAUCCACGAUUUUUACCAUAUGAAAGAUUAACGAAAAAUUAAAUUCGUUCGUGUAUUCGAUUAAAUUAAUUCUAUUGAAUAACAACAACAACAACAACAACAACGAUAAUAAUAAUAAGAAGAAGAAUUAAUGUAUAAUAAUAAUAAUAAUUA